AUUGAACGCUGGCGGCAGGCCUAACACAUGCAAGUCGAACGAGUGGCGGACGGGUGAGUAAUGUCUGGGAAACUGCCUGCUGGAGGGUGAUAACUACUGGAAACGGUAGCUAAUACCGCAUACCAUCAGAUGUGCCCAGAUGGGAUUAGCUUGUUGGUGGGGUAACGGCUCACCGGGGCGACGAUCCCUAGCUGGUCCGAGAGGAUGACCAGCCAAACUGGAACUGGGACACGGUCCAGAGUCCUACGGGAGGAAGCAGUGGGGAAUAUGGGAAUAUGGGCGCAAGCCUGAUGCAGCCAUGCAGCGUGUAUGAAGAGGGCAUUCGGGUUGUAAAGUACUUUCAGCGGGGAGGCGUUACCCGCAGAAGAAGCACCGGCUAACUCCGUGCCAGCAGCCGCGGUAAUUC
rnacentral:rRNA from 1 species